rnacentral:ncRNA from 1 species
GGGCGUGACACGGGGUGCCGCCACGCGCGGCUGAGAACAUACCCGUCGAACCUGAUCCAGUUCACGCUGGCGGAGGGAUUGUCGCAGCGGCCGCGC